rnacentral:rRNA from 1 species
GACCUCGGAUCAGGUAGGACCACCCGCUGAACU